UAGCGAAGCUCUUGAUCGAAGCCCGAGUAAACGGCGGCCGUAACUAUAACGGUCCUAAGGUAGCGAAAUUCCUUGUCGGUUAAAUACCGACCUGCAUGAAUGGCGUAACGAGAUGGGAGCUGUCUCAAAGAGGGAUCCAGUGAAAUUGUAGUGGAGGUGAAAAUUCCUCCUACCCGCGGCAAGACGGAAAGACCCCGUGGACCUUUACUACAGCUUGACACUGCUAUUUGGAUAAGAAUGUGCAGGAUAGGUGGGAGGCUUUGAGUAUAUGACGCCAGUUGUAUAGGAGCCAUUGUUGAGAUACCACUCUUUCUUAUUUGGGUAGCUAACCAGCUUGAGUUAUCCUCAAGUGGGACAAUGUCUGGCGGGUAGUUUGACUGGGGCGGUCGCCUCCCAAAUAAUAACGGAGGCUUACAAAGGUUGGCUCAGAACGGUUGGAAAUCG
rnacentral:rRNA from 1 species